CCAACAGCUGCCCGAAAUACAGUCCCUUAUGUGAUUCUGCCUUUAGCUGGAAUGACUCACUUUUCCAACCAUGGGGAACUAGAGAGAGACAAAGGUUUCCUUCAGGCCCUUGAAGCUAAGAGUAAAUGGCUGAGAAGACAGUGAGAAUAAGGAAUCUAUCUUCCAGCUCACUGGGCAGAGCCAAAUUUCUGCUGGGAGGAGAGAAAGACCCUCCAGUCAUGAGAAGACCUUCACAAGUGCCUCUGGAAUGCUUUUGUGUAACUUCAUGAAGGAAAUCUCUUUAGUGAAUCUCCACAGCCGUGUUUUGCUCUGUGAACAGUUAAGAGAGCCGCAGAUACUCAGCCAGAGUGGAGGAAGGGGAGAAGAAGAAAAAGAGGAGGAAUACGCCCAGAGGACAAGGGAUACAAGUUUGGUUUUUUCCCUUUCCUUCUUUGUUGUAGUCAAACCUCAUGUUGACCUGGACUAGUAGAGUAUCCCUCCUUCAGAACUUCUUGGCUCAAGAACAUGAAUAGAGAGAAAAAAAAUGCACUAUAAUACAAUCAUGCUCAUGAAUGUCAAUCAGCUCAUCCUCAAAAACUCUGUGAAGGGGGGGAAGUCUCUCUGAAUUUACUUAAAAGGGCAAAACAAUAAAAAGGAGCAGCUGCCAACUUGGCUAGCUGGUUUUUCUCUGCAUCAUGUUUCAGGGCUCAAACAGCUCUGAGGAGACCAUAAUCACUUAGUCCCAGCUUCUGGCAGCAUUCCUUCUCAAACGCCAAGCCUGAGGAAGUAUACUGCUGAAUUAUUGAGCCAGAAAAUAUUAGUGCUGGAGGGGUCCAUCCAGCCCUACACCCUCAUUUUAUAGAAGCAAGCCCCGAGACCCAAAGAAAUUGAGACUUUGCCCACGAUCCUCAAGCUAGUCAGUGGUGGGACUGGGCCUAAUACUGAGGGAUGCAAAGGGGGGUAGCAUUUGCUGUGGGCAUAGGAAAAAAGGCUUCAUUCCACCAGUAAGCCAGCCAAAGUAAGCAGAAGGCCAAAUUAGACCCUGCACACCAGGCACGAUGAGGAACUGAUAAUUUAAAGCAAGGCAUGGAGAUGGAGUGAUGUGAACUCCCAAGUUAUGAUGGUCAAAGUGAAGAGUGAGAAGAGUGAGUUGGUCUCUCCUCCACCCAGAAGGAAGAGGGAAAGAACCGAAACUCAGCCAUCAGUUCUGUUAGGGAUGUAAAAUAAUACCAAGACUGGAGACUGGUUAGCCAGAAAUAUUCCCGCUAUCCGUUCAGGCUCCCACACGCUCAGACCCAAAGCUAAAAAGUCUUCAUGACAGAAACUAAAACAAACAUUACAAAGUCUUCUGGGACAGCUAUUUUCUUUGAACAAAUGUGGGCUGUUUGAGAUUACAUCUAGGUGACAGGAGAAGCCUUUGGAGUUUGUGGGGGGUCUGUAUAUAGGGAGCAUGUGCAUAUGUACCUAGGCACACAUAAAUGUAUUGGUAAAGGCGGGGAGAGAGUGUUAUAAAAAGGGCUGCCACAAAGUAAACACUACGGUUUUUUUGUAUCUCUUCUUGACAUCUAAGUGUUGAACAGGAAAGCACCACAUGGGCUAGCCAACAGCAUGAAGCCUUCGUUUCCAAAGGAUUUGUUCCAGCUGGUCAGUGACUGGUCUCUCUUCCAGGAGUGGUUGGAAGCAAGAGGGGGAUUUCAAAAGGCCCAGUGAAAAGAAUUCAGAGGACAUGCCAUUAUUAAUGUUCCUGGGUUAGGGAUGCUUAAUGCAAAUUUACUCCCAAAAGAAUAUUCUACCUUUUCCACUCAAAGCCAAGUUCAAAAUGACACAUUCUCUUUACUAUGAGCUGAAGGUGAAAGGAUAGUUUUUGAACAGAAGGGAAACUGCUUUUUCUGAUAUCAAGCCCUAGAGUGAUGAUAUAAGAGGUGGAAGACCUUAUUCAAUUUUUGCUCUCUGAUGUCUGGGUUAAGCAUUUAACCUCCCACUGUCUCAUUUGUGUUCUUGAUAAAAAUAAAAGUCUUAGAUCUGGAGGUUGAUCUCUAUAGCAGGCAAGGGGGGAUUAAAGUCAUCUAAUAUAGUCUCAUUCUAUCUCCAUGCCCCAGGAGAGUUUUCCACUGCUGUGCAUGUCAGUCAAACUAUCUCACUGCAGUAACUAUUAACAGUAUUCCCCAGACACAAUAGGAGCAAAAGAAACUGUCCACUCACAUUGCAAAUCCUAGGCCAAAGAAAAGGUCUUUUGGCAGGACAGCAUUAUAUGACAUGGCUUAAAGAUUCCCUUCGAGGUCCAUGAUUUUAAAUAGACAUAAAAAGCCUGUAUUAAGUAGCCUAGGUCAUAUAACAUUUUAGCUGAAUCCCUCUAUAAAGUGGCAAAACCUAAUUGUCACAUUGGUCAGUCAACUGACUCUAAUAAACAUUAUUUUGCUAAAUCAUGUUCUUACAGAAGCAAUUAAGUUGGUAGGGUAUUAUAUAUAUGGCUUCACACAAUUGUGUGUGUGUGUGUGUGUGUGUGUGUGUGUGUGUGUGUGCCAAGAGUAAGCUUCACAAAACCCCACCAGAGUGAGUAGCAUGAAAAUUGCCUUCAUUCAAAUUUUUAGGGCAAAUUAAAUUGGGUGUAGAGUAGGAAACCAAUAACCCAGGAUACUGAUCCCUAUGGGGAAGCCAUUGGGGGAGGGGAACUCACUUGUAUCUCAAUAGGGCAUGGUAUGGGAGAAAGUUGUAUCUGGUUCCUAUUUUAACUUUUUAAAAUUUCUUUUUCAUUAUGAACUUAACAUGAGCAAAUAAACGCAAAAGGAUCAUGUAUAAAAACCA